UACAGAGGGGGCGAGCGUUGUUCGGAAUUACUGGGCGUAAAGGGCGCGUAGGCGGCCUGCUAAGUCGAACGUGAAAUCCCUGGGCUCAACCCAGGAACUGCGUCCGAUACUGGUUGGCUUGAAUCCGGGAGAGGGAUGUGGAAUUCCAGGUGUAGCGGUGAAAUGCGUAGAUAUCUGGAGGAACACCGGUGGCGAAGGCGACAUCCUGGACCGGUAUUGACGCUGAGGCGCGAAAGCGUGGGGAGCAAACAGG
rnacentral:rRNA from 1 species